rnacentral:rRNA from 1 species
GGUGAACGCUGGCGGCGUGCCUAAUACAUGCAAGUCGAGCGGACGGACGAGAAGCUUGCUUCUCUGAUGUUAGCGGCGGACGGGUGAGUAACACGUGGAUAACCUACCUAUAAGACUGGGAUAACUUCGGGAAACCGGAGCUAAUACCGGAUAAUAUUUUGAACCGCAUGGUUCAAAAGUGAAAGACGGUCUUGCUGUCACUUAUAGAUGGAUCCGCGCUGCAUUAGCUAGUUGGUAAGGUAACGGCUUACCAAGGCAACGAUGCAUAGCCGACCUGAGAGGGUGAUCGGCCACACUGGAACUGAGACACGGUCCAGACUCCUACGGGAGGCAGCAGUAGGGAAUCUUCCGCAAUGGGCGAAAGCCUGACGGAGCAACGCCGCGUGAGUGAUGAAGGUCUUCGGAUCGUAAAACUCUGUUAUUAGGGAAGAACAUAUGUGUAAGUAACUGUGCACAUCUUGACGGUACCUAAUCAGAAAGCCACGGCUAACUACGUG